UGAGUAUCACAAAAGUUUAUUUAGUAAAAAGUUCCAUAUGAAAAUGUACAUGACCUAAUUCUACAUCACAAUCAAACAGGCCUUUGAGGAGGGAUGUGGACACUGCUUGCUGAGCACAGGUCAGACUCUUUCCAAGGCUUCUAACAUGAUGAUGCUGUUUCCUCGGAUGACCACCAUGCCAAUGUUGUUCUGUUGCCCACUGGUUGCCAUCUCCACACACUCGUCAAUCACAAGGUUCUUCUUCAGCUCGGGAGGGUGGGCUUUGCUCAUG
rnacentral:lncRNA from 1 species